AUCACUGUGACUUUCACUCUCUACUGCUCAAAACAAAAAACAAAAAUAAAAGCCCUGCAGUUACUCCCACACUGCUUAACACGACCAGAUCCCUUUAGGAUUACAUAAACUGCAUUGCCCUUAUGACAAAGAGGGCUUAAUUCAGUUGCCUCACCACAUGCAUCUAAUGCCAUUCAAGACGGCACAAGGUAUGUGAUACACUGACACAGGACAGACAAAACAUGCCUCUGGAGGCCAGGUGAAAAAUCUUAGGGCCAGGUGAAAUGGCUCCAGAUGUCUAAUUUAAGCAACUGUCCUGAGCCCCAAAGGACCCUUUUAUGUCUUGCAUCCUUCAUUGGCAUUUCCUACCAAUAAAAAUGUACCUUGAAGAGUCUCAUCCAAGAAAACUGUCUUGUAAAAGCAGUUCUAAAACCUGAAGAAAAAUGUGACUGGGCAAACAUCAGGAGGCCUGAAACACUUCAGUACUUCAUACCAUCAGGUCCUUAUGCCAAGGCAUUCUGCUGCUGGAGGAUGACAAUGCAGCAACAAAACAAGCCUGAGUCCUACAAGAACAAAGAGGCCAUGAAUUUAGAAGUCCAGUUCUGAGGAGCACAGAGGGGAG
rnacentral:lncRNA from 1 species